CGAAGACAUCGGCGGCGACAGAGCCGAGGGGCUUCGGACGCUCCCCAUCGUCGUCGGCGAGGCGGCGUCGCUGUGGUUCGGUGCGGCCGUCCUCGU
rnacentral:tRNA from 1 species